CUCCAUUGUGUUGCAGGCAUACCCAGCUGAGCAGGCCAAGUUGCUGGCUGGAUUUCACACAGAGACGCCGGGAAGGAAUUGCGCAUCUGUGGGGCAGCCCGUUUGCCCACAGGGAGAGCCGGUUUCCCGGGGAGCUUUGGGGGAACACCACGGUAGCGCUGAGAGAUGACAAGAGCCAGUGUCAAAGGAAAAAAAAAUCAGAACAUAUUUGCUGAUGAAGUUGACUCCUAAGAAACAAAAGCAGGUACCCCGGACUGCCACGAUUCCCUGCAGGAAAAGUUCUCAGAGCUAAAGCAACAGGAAACGACAUAUAGGAGAGGAUUCUGGGAGCCCAGCACAGGCUUCGGAGACAUUUCUUGUCUCAGACCACACAGGGGAGCUCUUUUUCUUCUUCCACCGACUAUGAGAAGCCACCAAAGAGACUCCAGGUCACUGGGGGAGGAGCUGUUGACAGAGGAACUCGCUGCUAUGCGACUUGGCAUAAACUAAGACCCCAACGAUGAAACCAGGUGCACACAUUAAACUUGGUGUUCGUGCAAAACAGCCUGACAAACCAGUAUGGCGUCUGUUACUCCAGGGUGACCGUAACAAAACCCUC